AGAGUUUGAUCCUGGCUCAGAUUGAACGCUGGCGGUAUGCUUAACACAUGCAAGUCGAACGGAAACGAAACUAGCUUGCUAGUAGGCGUCGAGUGGCGGACGGGUGAGUAACGCGUAGGAAUCUGCCUGAUAGUGGGGGAUAGCCCGAAGAAAUUCGGAUUAAUACCGCAUAAUCUAUUCGUAGUAAAGUGGGGGACUUUCGAGCCUCACGCUAUCAGAUGAGCCUGCGUAAGAUUAGCUUGUUGGUAGGGUAAAAGCCUACCAAGGCAACGAUCUUUAGCUGGUCUGAGAGGAUGAUCAGCCACAUCGGGACUGAGACACGGCCCGAACUCCUACGGGAGGCAGCAGUGGGGAAUAUUGGACAAUGGGGGCAACCCUGAUCCAGCAAUACCGCGUGUGUGAAGAAGGCCUGAGGGUUGUAAAGCACUUUCAAUUAUGAAGAAAAGUUAACGGUUAAUAACCGUUGACCUUGACGUUAAUUUUAGAAGAAGCACCGGCUAACUCCGUGCCAGCAGCCGCGGUAAUACGGAGGGUGCAAGCGUUAAUCGGAAUUACUGGGCGUAAAGCGUGCGUAGGCGGUUUAUUAAGUCAGAUGUGAAAGCCCCGGGCUUAACCUGGGAACUGCAUUUGAAACUGGUCAACUAGAGUAUGGUAGAGGAAAGUGGAAUUUCUGGUGUAGCGGUGAAAUGCGUAGAUAUCAGAAGGAACAUCAAUGGCGAAGGCAGCUUUCUGGACCAAUACUGACGCUGAGGUACGAAAGCGUGGGUAGCAAACAGGAUUAGAUACCCUGGUAGUCCACGCCGUAAACGAUGAUAACUAGCCGUUGGGGGGAUUUACCCCUUAGUGGCGAAGCUAACGCGUUAAGUUAUCCGCCUGGGGAGUACGGCCGCAAGGCUAAAACUCAAAGGAAUUGACGGGGACCCGCACAAGCGGUGGAGCAUGUGGUUUAAUUCGAUGCAACGCGAAGAACCUUACCUGGUCUUGACAUCCUGCGAACUUUCUAGAAAUAGAUUGGUGCCUUCGGGAACGCAGUGACAGGUGCUGCAUGGCUGUCGUCAGCUCGUGUCGUGAGAUGUUGGGUUAAGUCCCGUAACGAGCGCAACCCCUAUCCUUAUUUGCCAGCACAUUAUGGUGGGAACUAUAAGGAGACUGCCGGUGAUAAACCGGAGGAAGGCGGGGACGACGUCAAGUCAUCAUGGCCCUUACGACCAGGGCUACACACGUGCUACAAUGGGAAGGACAAAGAGCCGCGAAGCCGCGAGGUGUAGCUAAUCUCAUAAAUCUUUUCGUAGUCCGGAUUGGAGUCUGCAACUCGACUCCAUGAAGUCGGAAUCGCUAGUAAUCGUAGAUCAGAAUGCUACGGUGAAUACGUUCCCGGGUCUUGUACACACCGCCCGUCAUACCAUGGGAGUGGGUUGCACCAGAAGUGGCUAGUCUAACUUUGUGAGGACGGUCACCACGGUGUGAUUCAUGACUGGGGUAAAGUCGUAACAAGGUAACC
rnacentral:rRNA from 1 species